AACAUCCAAAACGACGAAAGCCCUACCUCUCUUCCAUCCUUGCGGCUCCGUAGACCGCGCCAGUGUGAAUCAGAAAUUCAAAAGAGGC
rnacentral:sRNA from 1 species